rfam:Firmicutes bacterium CAG:882 genomic scaffold, scf188
UUUGUGAGGAGCUUAGUUGUUCUUAGGACUUUUCACAACCCCCGCCAAAAUCAGAAUGGAUUCUGAUUUAGAAGCAAUGCAUACAAGGAUGUAUGCUUUGCUUCGUUGGCGGACAUAUAUAAAACCAUUCCAAAAGUCCUUAGAACACCCGGCUCCGAACAAC